AUUGGACUGGCAGAAUGGUGUUAAUCUAUUGGGCCUUUGUCUAGUUAGUGUGCUAUCUAGAUGCUAGCUGCAAUGAUUGAGGGGAUUAUGAGCAAGUAAAUACUAGUUUUUCAUAUCAUGAAACUGAGUGGGGAAAACGAGGGCAUGGGGUAUUAACUAUGUACAUCUGGAAGGUCGAUUGAGUGUUAUGGUAAUGAUGACAAGGUGUGUGGUGUGUAGUGCAGGAAAGCGUAAAAGGGAAGGAGUACAGCAAGGGUGAAAAGAAGACAGACAGUCCAAGAGGGCCCCUGGCUGGGAGCCGAAGUGUAACCGCAGGGUGGAGGAAAAAUGCGUAGAAGUGGACGUUGGCCAGUCCAAUGUGAUAUUACUGUAAAUCAAAAAAGGGGAUCGUCUUUUAAGGGUAGGUUGCAAUAGUGUGUUACUGCCCACUAUCAAU